rnacentral:lncRNA from 1 species
GCUCGCGUAAUUUGUCCUGUAGUGACCGCGCCGGGGUUUCGGGGUGGCCCGAGGCUGCGCGCGGGCGUGGCGGCCGGACGAGGAAAGCCCUGGUCUCGGGGGUGGCCGGGGUCGCCCCGCCGAGCGGACAUCCUGGGGUCCCACCUGCCUCGCUCUCCGCCAGCGGGAUUAGACGGACUUCGGGAAAGUCCUCCCCAUCUCCUUCCCUGCCCCCAAAUCCCGAAGGGGUCCCCUCUGGAGAACCUCCCUCCUGAGCGGCCCUGCGGCCCCGCCCCCAGAGUUGGACGCCCGCUGUCGGGCACCCGCUGCGGGCCCCGGGCCUUGCAGUGCACUCUCCAGGCACCACACCGACCCUAACGAGCGGUUCCUGGGCCCUUUUUGCAGACAAGGAAACUGAGGCUCAGAGAUUCUUUUCAUGGCAUUAUAGCUAAGUUGGGCUGGGCCAUUAUUUGAUUUUGGAAGAUGAAAAAUCAUGAAAGGGACUUAGAAGUCCACUGGAGGUAGACAGGUUACCUAAAUGAACGCCAGCAGGGAACGAGCCCUGCAAUCCCUCCCGAGGGCUACAGACCUGAGACGGGCUCCAGGAAAAGGAGGGAAGGCUCGCCCCGACACCGACCCGGGCUUCCGCGGUGUGAGCCAGUUUCAGCGAGGAGCUAGUUGGUUAUGACCGGAACGUGCCGUAGGUGGGGUGGGGGAAAUAGCAAAAGGCGAGGUUGGAGGGAUUGAAAAAUGCAGACGGCUGCGUGGGGCUUGCUUAGGUGCCUGGAGUUUAUUCUUUAGGCAACAGGGAACCUUUGGAGGGCUUUAAGCAGGAAGUGAUAACUGAUUUGUGUUAUUUAAAAAAAAAAAAAAGUCACUCUGGCAACCUUGUGGUCGGAAAUGAAACCAGAAGAACCCUCAAGGCUGCAACUUUCAUUUUUAUGGUGUCAUUUUGAUGCUAACCACAAGCCAGGAAGCAGGACAGACAGGCACCGAGGCCUUUUGAAAGGUGAACACCCUGAAGCCCAGAGAGGUGACACACGUCAUUGCAUUAGGAGCUUUUAUAAAAGUAAAAAUGAAGUAAAAUAAAAAGCUUUUGCUUAUCAAGAUUUUACCAUAUUUAAAUGUUUGGGUUGUAUUGUUCUUUAAUGAGAUGUAUUAAGGUUGGUGUUUUUCUGGGUUUUGUUACUUUUUACUACAUAUGAAAUUGUAAGGAAUUGCCUCUCCAUGCCAGCCUCAGGCCUUUGCGCGUGCUAUUUGCUCUGCCUGGAACUUCUUGCUCCUCACUUCGUUCAAUACCCUGCUUAUAUAUCACCUCAUUGAUACAGCCGACCACUUCAUAUAAUAGGAACCACCCACUGCCCUGCUAUCCUCACACACAGUCCGCACUUAGUCUGCUCUGUUGUUCUCCAAAGCACCUAUUGUUCACCAUAGCCCAACACUGUGUUCUUGUUUAUUUCUUGAUUGUCCGCUCUCUCCACUAGAAUCUUAGAUUCAUUAGAGCACGGGCUUUGUUUUGUUCACUAAUAGGUCCUGGCACACAGUAAGUAUUUGUCAAGUGAAUGAACGAAGCU